rnacentral:rRNA from 1 species
GAAUCUUGCGCAAUGGGCGAAAGCCUGACGCAGCCAUGCCGCGUGAAUGAUGAAGGUCUUAGGAUUGUAAAAUUCUUUCACCGGGGAAGAUAAUGACGGUACCCGGAGAAGAAGCCCCGGCUAACUUCGUGCCAGCAGCCGCGGUAAUACGAAGGGGGCUAGCGUUGCUCGGAAUUACUGGGCGUAAAGGGCGCGUAGGCGGACAUUUAAGUCAGAGGUGAAAGCCCAGGGCUCAACCUUGGAAUUGCCUUUGAUACUGGAUGUCUUGAGUUCGGGAGAGGUGAGUGGAAUGCCGAGUGUAGAGAUGAAAUUCGUAGAUAUUCGGCGGAACACCAGUGGCGAAGGCGACUCACUGGCCCGAUACUGACGCUGAGGCGCGAAAGCGUGGGGAGCAAACAGG